GGGAAAGUGGCUCAGUGGUAGAGCACUUGCUUUGGAUGCUUGAGGCCCUGGGUUCGAUUCCUUAGCACCA
rfam:Dipodomys ordii contig_57789, whole genome shotgun sequence.